GACGAACGCUGGCGGCGUGCCUAAUACAUGCAAGUAGAACGCUGAAGGAGGAGCUUGCUUCUCUGGAUGAGUUGCGAACGGGUGAGUAACGCGUAGGUAACCUGCCUGGUAGCGGGGGAUAACUAUUGGAAACGAUAGCUAAUACCGCAUAAUAGCAGUUAUUGCAUGAUAACUGUUUGAAAGGUGCAAUUGCACCACUACCAGAUGGACCUGCGUUGUAUUAGCUAGUUGGUGGGGUAACGGCUCACCAAGGCGACGAUACAUAGCCGACCUGAGAGGGGGAUCGGCCACACUGGGACUGAGACACGGCCCAGACUCCUACGGGAGGCAGCAGUAGGGAAUCUUCGGCAAUGGACGGAAGUCUGACCGAGCAACGCCGCGUGAGUGAAGAAGGUUUUCGGAUCGUAAAGCUCUGUUGUACGAGAAGAACGAGUGUGAGAGUGGAAAGUUCACACUGUGACGGUAUCUUACCAGAAAGGGACGGCUAACUACGUG
rnacentral:rRNA from 1 species